UGAUGUCACUAGGUUUGGAGCUGAUCUGCAGCUCUGAUACCCUGAUGCCAACAUCCUUCCCUUUUUCUUAUCAUAAAGAAGGAAAACAGUGGGAGGGGGAAGGUGAUAGUAAAAAGGAAAUGGGAGCAUCGUGUCUCUUAAGUUGCUUCCUGCUGUCUAGGGGCAUCAUCAGUUUGGGGGUGUAGCUGACUUGAUUAAUGAGGCAGGGAGCGAACAAUAACACCAGGAGAAUGACUAGAAGAGGAGUUAUGAAAGAUUGAUCAACACAGAAACAGCAUUCUUCUUGGAGGAACAGGCAAAGACCACCUUCUUUAGCUGUUAGGAUGUCUAGUCCCCAUCAGUUCUGAAGCACCACAGCUGCCAAAGAAUUGAUCUGUUUCUGAAUAGCAAGCACGGUUUCAGACAUUUUUUGGAAAACCACUGUUAAACUAGAAAGUGAAUUUAUUAUAUUUGGUCAUGAAAGUAGUUAUCCCUGUAAUUCCAGUUUCCAGCACCUAUGGCUAUUCCCUCAGUGACCAAGAGUGGCACAACCUGAACUCAAAUUCUGUCCACAGGAAUCCACAGGGCUCCACAGGAAUCUUGGGUUAAAUUCCUGUUUGACAAAAUAGAUAAGGCCUAAUAAUAGGCACAUACAGUAUUUUAGUUUGUUUCAUUUGUUUUGGAUUGUUUUAGUUUUCAAAAUGGGUGUGAUUUUGAGUUUUGUGGUUAUACUAUUCCUCUGGGAAUGGAGAGAUAUAAAUAAAGGGUUUUCUGAUUACUAGCUCAAGGA